GCACUGCUGAGGAGUUCCAUAAUAGGACGAAACGUCUGUUCAGUGC
rnacentral:hammerhead_ribozyme from 1 species